rnacentral:lncRNA from 1 species
GUCAUGGAAAUUCUUCUUUUCAAAGCCUGGCAGACAAAUCAAUCACCCGUUUUUAUUUCGACUUUUCAUCUUCAUGGCCACGUACACCUAGUUGGAUUUCUCUAUUAGGAAAUGAUACCUUUUACUCAAACUUCGCACGAAUUUUUAAGCGGUUAAUACAAGAAUGUGGUAUGCCUGUUUUACUGGCACUUAAAAGUUCAUUGGAGGAGUUUUCAAAUGCUAAGGAAAGGUCUAAGCAAUGCGUUGCUGCUGAAGCAUUAGCAGGAGUGCUGCAUUCUGAUGUGAAUGGUCUUUUAGGAGCAUGGGACAAUUGGAUCAUGGCUGAGUUGCAGAGAAUUAUUCUUUCUCAAUCAGUUGAAUCUUUACCUGAGUGGGCAGCUUGUAUACGUUAUGCAGUUACAGGAAAGGGAAAAUAUGGUACCAGAGUUCCUCUUCUCAGGCAACAAGUCUUGGACUGCUUGAUGACACCUUUACCUGCAGCUGUAACUACCACCAUUAUUGCAAAACGCUACACUUUUCUUUCAGCUGCACUCAUAGAAGUAUCUCCGCAAAAAAUGCCACCACCUGAGAUAC